rnacentral:rRNA from 1 species
ACUAAGCGUACACGGUGGAUGCCCUGGCAGUCAGAGGCGAUGAAGGACGUGCUAAUCUGCGAAAAGCGCCGGCGAGGUGAUAUGAACCCUUGACCCGGCGAUGUCCGAAUGGGGAAACCCAGUGUGAUUCGUCACACUAUCGUUAACUGAAUACAUAGGUUAACGAGGCGAACCGGGGGAACUGAAACAUCUAAGUACCCCGAGGAAAAGAAAUCAACCGAGAUUCCCCCAGUAGCGGCGAGCGAACGGGGAGCAGCCCAGAGUCUGAAUCAGCUUGUGUGUUAGUGGAAGCGUCUGGAAAGUCGCACGGUACAGGGUGAAAGUCCCGUACACGAAAAUGCACAGGCUGUGAACUCGAAGAGUAGGGCGGGACACGUGGUAUCCUGUCUGAAUAUGGGGGGACCAUCCUCCAAGGCUAAAUACUCCUGACUGACCGAUAGUGAACCAGUACCGUGAGGGAAAGGCGAAAAGAACCCCGGCGAGGGGAGUGAAAAAGAACCUGAAACCGUGUACGUACAAGCAGUGGGAGCACCUUCGGGUGUGACUGCGUACCUUUUGUAUAAUGGGUCAGCGACUUAUAUUCUGUAGCAAGGUUAACCGUAUAGGGGAGCCGAAGGGAAACCGAGUCUUAACUGGGCGUUAAGUUGCAGGGUAUAGACCCGAAACCCGGUGAUCUAGCCAUGGGCAGGUUGAAGGUUGGGUAACACUAACUGGAGGACCGAACCGACUAAUGUUGAAAAAUUAGCGGAUGACCUGUGGCUGGGGGUGAAAGGCCAAUCAAACCGGGAGAUAGCUGGUUCUCCCCGAAAGCUAUUUAGGUAGCGCCUCGUGAACUCAUCUUCGGGGGUAGAGCACUGUUUCGGCUAGGGGGCCAUCCCGGCUUACCAACCCGAUGCAAACUACGAAUACCGAAGAAUGUUAUCACGGGAGACACACGGCGGGUGCUAACGUCCGUCGUGAAGAGGGAAACAACCCAGACCGCCAGCUAAGGUCCCAAAGUCAUGGUUAAGUGGGAAACGAUGUGGGAAGGCCCAGACAGCCAGGAUGUUGGCUUAGAAGCAGCCAUCAUUUAAAGAAAGCGUAAUAGCUCACUGGUCGAGUCGGCCUGCGCGGAAGAUGUAACGGGGCUAAACCAUGCACCGAAGCUGCGGCAGCGACGCUUAUGCGUUGUUGGGUAGGGGAGCGUUCUGUAAGCCGUUGAAGGUGGNCUGUGAGGGCUGCUGGAGGUAUCAGAAGUGCGAAUGCUGACAUAAGUAACGAUAAAGCGGGUGAAAAGCCCGCUCGCCGGAAGACCAAGGGUUCCUGUCCAACGUUAAUCGGGGCAGGGUGAGUCGACCCCUAAGGCGAGGCCGAAAGGCGUAGUCGAUGGGAAACAGGUUAAUAUUCCUGUACUUGGUGUUACUGCGAAGGGGGGACGGAGAAGGCUAUGUUAGCCGGGCGACGGUUGUCCCGGUUUAAGCAUGUAGGCGGAGGUUCCAGGUAAAUCCGGUACCUUUUAACGCUGAGGUGUGAUGACGAGGCACUACGGUGCUGAAGUAACAAAUGCCCUGCUUCCAGGAAAAGCCUCUAAGCAUCAGGUAACACGAAAUCGUACCCCAAACCGACACAGGUGGUCAGGUAGAGAAUACCAAGGCGCUUGAGAGAACUCGGGUGAAGGAACUAGGCAAAAUGGUGCCGUAACUUCGGGAGAAGGCACGCUGAUAUGUAGGUGAAGCCCCUGCGGGUGGAGCUGAAAUCAGUCGAAGAUACCAGCUGGCUGCAACUGUUUAUUAAAAACACAGCACUGUGCAAACACGAAAGUGGACGUAUACGGUGUGACGCCUGCCCGGUGCCGGAAGGUUAAUUGAUGGGGUUAGCGGCAACGCGAAGCUCUUGAUCGAAGCCCCGGUAAACGGCGGCCGUAACUAUAACGGUCCUAAGGUAGCGAAAUUCCUUGUCGGGUAAGUUCCGACCUGCACGAAUGGCGUAAUGAUGGCCAGGCUGUCUCCACCCGAGACUCAGUGAAAUUGAACUCGCUGUGAAGAUGCAGUGUACCCGCGGCAAGACGGAAAGACCCCGUGAACCUUUACUAUAGCUUGACACUGAACACUGGUCCUUGAUGUGUAGGAUAGGUGGGAGGCUUUGAAGCGUGGACGCCAGUCUGCGUGGAGCCAUCCUUGAAAUACCACCCUUUAAUGGCUGGUGUUCUAACGUAGACCCGUAAUCCGGGUUGCGGACAGUGUCUGGUGGGUAGUUUGACUGGGGCGGUCUCCUCCCAAAGAGUAACGGAGGAGCACGAAGGUUAGCUAAUCCUGGUCGGACAUCAGGAGGUUAGUGCAAUGGCAUAAGCUAGCUUGACUGCGAGAGUGACGGCUCGAGCAGGUGCGAAAGCAGGUCAUAGUGAUCCGGUGGUUCUGAAUGGAAGGGCCAUCGCUCAACGGAUAAAAGGUACUCCGGGGAUAACAGGCUGAUACCGCCCAAGAGUUCAUAUCGACGGCGGUGUUUGGCACCUCGAUGUCGGCUCAUCACAUCCUGGGGCUGAAGUAGGUCCCAAGGGUAUGGCUGUUCGCCAUUUAAAGUGGUACGCGAGCUGGGUUUAGAACGUCGUGAGACAGUUCGGUCCCUAUCUGCCGUGGGCGCUGGAGAAUUGAGGGGGGCUGCUCCUAGUACGAGAGGACCGGAGUGGACGCAUCACUGGUGUUCGGGUUGUCAUGCCAAUGGCACUGCCCGGUAGCUAAAUGCGGAAGAGAUAAGUGCUGAAAGCAUCUAAGCACGAAACUUGCCCCGAGAUGAGUUCUCCCUGAGACUUAAAGUCUCCUGAAGGAACGUUGAAGACGACGACGUUGAUAGGUCGGGUGUGUAAGCGCAGCGAUGCGUUGAGCUAACCGAUACUAAUGAACCGUGAGGCUUAACC